GUAUGGACUCAGCAGUCUGUGUGUGUGUAUGGACUCAGCAGUCUGUGUGUGUGUAUGGACUCAGCAGUCUGUGUGUAUGGACUCAGCAGUCUGUGUGUGUGUGUGUGUGUGUGUAUGGACUCAACAGUCUGUGUGUAUGGACUCAGCAGUCUGUGUGUAUGGACUCAGCAGAGUGUGUGUAUGUGUAUGGACUCAGCAGUCUGUGUGUUUGUGUGGACUCAGCAGUCUGUGUGUGUGUAUGGACUCAGCAGAGUCUGUGUGUGUAUGGACUCAGCAGAGUCUGUGUGUGUGUGUGUAUGGACUCAGCAGUGUGUGUGUGUGUGUAUGGACUCAGCAAUCUGUGUGUGUAUGUGUAUGGACUCAACAGUCUGUGUGUGUGUAUGGACUCCGCAGUCUAUCAAUAAUUAAAAUUCCUGUGAGUUGUUGUGUAGGAAGGGCCCCAGUGCAUUGCUUUGCC